UCCUUGUGUCAUUGUGUUUGUGUGUGUCUAGAGUUGUACAUGAGGCUGCAGCAGUUGAACCAGUGUGUAUUAUCCUCACACCGGCGCCUCAUGGAGCUGCAGACGUCACUGAAUACCAGCACAGACAAGGUAACACACACUCACAAGCACACAUGUACACAUUCAAGUAGACAAUUGUGUGUUAAAUGCGUGUGUGUGUGUGUGUGUGUGUGUGUGUGUGUGUGUGUGUGAUCGUCAUCAGUCAAUGCAGAGGGAAGAGGACUUUCAGAGGUUCAGCACCACCAGACCUACCCUCACCCGGAGAAAGGCAGACAUGGGCAGCCAUAUGGAGCAGGGGGUGGAGCAGAGGGCGGAGUUGUGGGCAGAACUGACUGAGGAGUUCCAGAAGCAGCAGGAGCUGAGGGAGGAGCAGCACAGGGAGGAGGUGGAGUAUGUGAGAACCUACUACAGGGAACAGGCCAGGGAGGUGGAGCAGCGCUACACCGCAGAAAUCAGCCUACUACAGGACAGGCUGCAGCAGCUCAGCAGAGUGCACACCCUCCACAGCACGUCGAGCGCUUCCCUGCCUACCCUGGAGCAGAA
ensembl:lncRNA